CUGCACCCGAGCAACACCGGUCUUUUCCUGUUUCCCACGAACUCUGAACACACCACGGGAGCUGUCCCUGCCUGAGUUUUAGGGUGGACAUGCUGCUCCUCCUUGGUGUUUCCAAGCCCCGUGGUUUGCAUUUUUGUGAAAGGUUUCCUCGUCCGACUAUAUGCUGACUAAAUACAAGCUCAGCUUGUUUCCAUGUAAGCUCGCUGGGUCAUUCAGCCCCUCUGCUGCCCACAGUGACCCUCCCCAGCUCUGCCAUUACAAUCUGGGAAGGACAGCCACAGCCUUGAGACAGCAGCAAGCUUUGCUGAUUUGAUCACAUCAGCCCGUAGCUGCUCCAGCCAACGUACCCAUAAAGAAUUUUGAAUGGAGGUGCGGACCCCUUUGGGAAGUUCGAACAAAGUUGACAGCCUGUGAAGAUGCAGCACCAUUGAGAAGACACAGUUGUAAAGUGAAUUGGAAUAAGAACAGAAAACCCUUCUUGGACAUGAAGAUGCAGCUUGCUUUGAUUCCCAUACAGCAGGGACAGGUUGAUAACAGGAGCCGGAUGUGUGUUUUAAGAAGGCAAGAGGCAAACUAAUGAGACUAGAACUCCAGCACCCUCUGGUGAUGAAAUUAAGACAUCAAAAAACCCAGCAUACAAACCAACCAACCAACACAACAAAUCCUGUGCUAAUAGCUUUGCUGGUGAAUGCGCGCAGCUAUGUAACUGCAUUGCUAUGCAACUUUCGAAUAAGAAACCGGAAGCAUUAUAAUAUGUCAGAAUACAAAGGCAGUAAUCUUGCGGUUAAGGCACUGGGCAAGGACACAAAAGAUCCAACCGAAUUCAGUGUCUGGGUGUGCCCAUGUCUUCCCGUAUCCGCAGGCAAGUCACUUAGAGCUUGAAUCUCAAAGUACCUGCAGGCUCCAUGAAGAACAGCUGGAGUUUUGCACGCUUUGUAGUUCUGCAAAGCAGGCCCUUCUGUGUAUUGUGUCUAUUCACAGAUCCCCCAUGUGUAAAAUGGGGAUUAUAACACUUCCU